CUCUCUCUCUCUCUCUCUCUCUCUCCUUCAUACAUUUAUUCAAUAAACAAUUACCAUAUACAUAUACAUAGAUGCCAUGUUACAUGAAAUGCCUUCGUAUGUUCAUACUAAGCUCUUCAACUUGGGUAUGAUUACAAAACCAUCAACGGUCUCUGCAGUGACUCUGACCCGCUUCUUGCAUCAAGGCAAAACCAAGUAUAGCACUUCAAAGAUAGCCAGGUUUUUGUCUAAUCACUCCAUUAUAGCUACUGCAGAAGGAUCAUUAGCAACGAUUCGAUAACCAUCUUCGUCGUCAUUUUCUCUAUCACCUUCUUGAUUCUUAUCAACAUUUUCACUUUCUCCAUCCUCUGUUGUUGC
rnacentral:misc_RNA from 1 species